rnacentral:rRNA from 1 species
UACAGAGGGUGCGAGCGUUACUCGGAAUUACUGGGCGUAAAGCGCGCGUAGGCGGCUUUGCAAGUCGGGUGUGAAAUCCCCAGGCUUAACCUGGGAACUGCACUCGAGACUGCAUUGCUAGAGUAUGGGAGAGGGAAGUGGAAUUUCCGGUGUAGCGGUGAAAUGCGUAGAUAUCGGAAGGAACAUCAGUGGCGAAAGCGACUUCCUGGACCAAUACUGACGCUCAUGUGCGAAAGCGUGGGGAGCAAACAGG